rnacentral:rRNA from 1 species
UACGGGGGGGAGCAAGCGUUGUUCGGAUUUACUGGGCGUAAAGCGUGCGCAGGCGGCGCGUUUAAGACAGGUGUGAAAGCCCCGAGCUUAACUUGGGAAUUGCGCUUGUGACUGGCGUGCUGGAGUGUGGCAGAGGGGGAUGGAAUUCCGCGUGUAGCAGUGAAAUGCGUAGAUAUGCGGAGGAACACCGAUGGCGAAGGCAAUCCCCUGGACCUGUACUGACGCUCAUGCACGAAAGCGUGGGGAGCAAACAGG